rnacentral:lncRNA from 1 species
CACAGUUAGAGAUGGGAGUGUUAACUUAAAAAUCACCCUGUAUAGUUUUAUCUGAUACAAAAAACCGUUAAAAUUGAUGCUGACUAUUAAAGUUUUGUCAAGGGGCAGUAGUUACCAAUAUCUAAAUAUUUAUAUAGUCUUUUUCCUCACGAAAAAUUAAAUUUAAAUAAACGGUUUUUAUUAUACUAAUAAUUAUUUGCAUUUAUGAUAAUUUAUACACCUUUAACACGAGAGGAACAAAACGAUAUAUUUGAUCCAGUAUUCAAAUUUUUAAGGUGCAAUUUCCCGUUUGCCCCAAUCUCCACUAUGGAACACCUAUGCGUAUGAUAACACAUGGCCGUAAUUAGCAUUCCUAAUCACAAUAAUUUAUUAUUAACGAAAUGUUAUGUCACGAAAAUUUAAUAAGUUUUUUUUUUAUAAUUUUUGUCGCACAAUUGAUGGUGGCUCUUAAUAAUAGAUGAAAAUUCUCUAGCGAUCUAUUAUUAUAGAUCAAUACUAUGGCGAUAAAUUCACAUAAUGGGGAUAAAUGCAUAUAACUGUGAUAAAUUCUUCAUUGUGUGCCGUAAUUUUUGAAUAUUAAUACCAAAUUUUGAAUAAUAGAUAUAUGAUAAAUAGCAGCACAGCAUUCAACCAUGGCAUUCCAAACCGUUCAAAUUACAACAAAAAAGUUAUUACACAACCACCAUUUCCUUCCUGCGGAAUCUGUUCUAUCGAUCCAUACAUCAUGCUAAACAGCAUUCAUAGAUGUUUUAAUCAGUACGGUAAUUUGAAACAGCACUGCAGAAAGACAUUUCCAUUCUUCUCUUCUGUAUAAACUUUGAUUCAUCCGUUAUUCUAUGAAGUUGGCAUCAGGGCAAGAUUAUCCAUUAUUUAUAAUAGCAUGUGCCUAAGAACCGCGGUAAUAGGAAGCUACAAAAUCAAAUUAAUUAUUGAACAGUUUAAAUAUUUUUAUCACGAUCCGUAAUGAAUGACGACAUUCUGCUAAAUAUUGAAAUAAGGUGCUUUAUUAAGGAAUCAGGUAAACAAUAAGUUAUCCCUACACUAUUAACACUUAACGCCAUGCAUUGACACCAAUAUAUACUAAAACUGUAAUAAAAAUGAAAUUCUAUCUUGCAGAAUUAGGCAGGAUUAAUGGUUACAACGUCGAAUUAUCCUUUAAUGAAAAUCUGAUUUAGUUCGAAAGUUAUUAGUGGGGGAAGAAAAGCAUAGCCCGAUCUUAUAAGCCUCUUUCCUCUGAAAAGUAGGCUAAAAAUGGAAAAUUAUAAGCAUUACAAAGCAUCGAAAAUUAUUCUAAAAAAACUUCUUUGAUAGUUAAGUAUCGAAGAGGAUAGUGG